ensembl:lncRNA
GUUCUCAGCUGCUUUCUGUCUUUCUUCUCCUGGGAAAAUUAUAAUGCAAAUAGCAGGGUGCUUGAUGUUGCCCCAGAUCUCUCUUAAGCUAUCCUCUUUUCUUUAAAUUAUUUUAUUUAUUUAUUUAUAUUCAGCAUCAGAUUUCCCCUGCUCUGUCUUCCAGCUCACUAAUCUGUUUCUCUGCACCAUUUAAUCUACUAUUGAUUCUUUCUACCGUAUUUUUCAUUUCAUUUACUAUAUUCUUCAUCUCUGAUUAUUCUUUAUACUUUCUUUUUGUGAUCCCAUGGACUUUAGCCUGCCAGGCUCCUCUAUCCAUGGGAUUCUCCAGGCAAGAAUACUGAAAUGGUUUGCCAUUCCCUUCUCCAGGAGAUCUUCCUGACUCAGAAAUUGAACCUGGGUUUCCUGCAAGAGACCCAGGUUUCCUGCAUUGCAGGCAGAUUCUUUACCAUCUGAGCCACCAGGGAAGCCCUUAAAUUUUCUAAAUCUUUGUUGAAAACUUCUAACUUCUUGCUCUAGGCAGCUCAUUUUGCCCAGGUCACUAUUCUUACGUUUAUGUGUCUGGUAGGGUGGUGCCAUUUCCCAACUCUGGAGAAGUGACUUCUGCAGAAGUCCUGUGUGUCCCGGUAGUGUCCCCUCUCUGUCCCCUCUGUGUGUCCCCUCUUUUCACUGGAGCUUUAUGCUCUAUGGGGUUCCCCAUGAUGUCCACGUGGGUCCUGAUAUGCGGUUGAUCUGGUAGUCUAGGACAGCCCCUGUUCAGGUCGGUUGCCAGGCUCUGCCCUGUGAGGAGGCUGCCACCUGCUGGUUGGUGGGGCUGGGUCAGGCAACCACUGAGUCUAGAACCACCAGUCUCCCAUCCCGCUUGGGCUAGUUCUGGCAUAUUGGUGGGCAGAAUCAGGGUCCAGAAGACUCUGGGGGAUGUUACAGCCCACUAGUGGCUGAAGCCAGAUCCUGGGAUUAGUUUUACCAGGUCCUGGAGUCCUGGGGACUGGUUGCAGGGCUCAGGGAUUCUAGCGUUGGUGUCAGGUUGCUCGCUGGGGACAAGGAGAGGAGGGGAGAGCAGUUCCUAUCACAGUGGAGUACAGGUUCCAGGGAGUCCUGAGGCUUGUGUCGGCCUGCUAGUGGGCAGGACCAGGGUGCAGCUGGUUUUAGGACACCAUCUGGCCUGCUGGAGUCAGCACUGUGGCUUUCUUGAAUGUAGGGUCUGCGCCCUGGUCCAGAGACAAGGGCAGACUGCUUGGAGGGUAGGGUCGGAACAGGGGAUCUGGGACGUUGUCUGCCCUCUGGUGGCAGAGGCUGUGUCGAGAGGAGGCUGUGUGCAGAGGAGGUCUUAAGGCAGCCUGUCUGUUGAUAAGUGGAGUUACGUCCCCACCCAGUUAGUUGCUUGGCGUGAGAUGUCCCCCAGCACUGGCAUCUACAGGUUGUUGGGUGUGGCCAGGUCUUUGCGCUCAGGAAUCCUUAGCACCUGCAUCAGGUGGAAGGAAAUUCCAAGAAUGUCUGCCGCCAGAGUCCAGCUCCCGAGGAUGAGCCCCGGCUGCCCCCUGUUCCUCCAGGAAACUCUUUAAGCCCAGCAGGUGGCUGCUUAUUGCAUCUUGUCAUAAAAUCUAAAUGAUGUGCUGGUGUUGGAGUGUAUUCAGAACAGUAAAGGUCUUCUACAGCCAUCAGGAACGGUGUAUUCCAGGAGCCAAAAAACUUCCCCAAAUGGCCAAAACCAGAAACAUGCUGUAUCCAUGGUAUGAAGGUACUGGGGAGAUUCACAGACAGAGGAGAAAACACCACCAGGUCUCAGAGGAAAACAUUGAAUGAAACCAUCCUCAGGAUAUUAAAAGAGAACAUGUGUUGGAGAAUGAAUAUAUAUGUUACUCUAGUUUCUUCCUGUUGACAAAGUUACUUAUGCAAGUAGAUAAUGAGUUCACUACAUUUCUUCCAGAUUCUCUUCUAUUCAUCUUCCCAUGCUUUUCUUAAACCCUUAGCAAUCGACAAACUUAGCUUUCUAUGAACUUUUUAAGGAUAGUUCAAACAGCAGAUGCUGCCCUUUGAAAUCUGCUUUGAAAUCUGUUGCAAGAUGUAACCAAAAGUAAGCAGGUAGGAGAGGCAGGACAUACCUAUAUUUAUUUGCAUCGUGUUUUACAUUAGCAAGAGACUAUCAUAAAAGCAUAGUUCUUACCCUGUCUUGUUAGAAACACUGACCUUUCUGCAGUAAUUAAAGCAGAGUGUGUGGUUUCUAUUCUGUAGAGUUUUAAAUUUACUGUUAAUGUGUGUGUUUGCUGAGAACUUUCAGACAUGAUCUGUGCUAUUUUCAAUUUUAAUUCAAACUAAUGUGGGAAAGUCUUGAGUCAACCUUUAGAAAUGCAGAUGGGUUGUCAUUAUAAAUAAUACAAGAUGGCAUUCAAUAACGGUUAGGAAGGAAGAAACAAUACUGAGUACAAAUACAUUUUGUGAACACAGGUUCUCAAUUGUUAUUCUUUGGAAAGCAAGAGCAUUAG